GAUGAACGCUGGCAGAAUGCUUACCACAUCCAAGUCAACUGUGUCGGACGGGGGAUUAACGCGUAAAGAACUUGCCUCACGGAUAGGGACCACCUUUGGAAACGAAUGCUAAUACCUGCUACUGUGGGAGAGCUUUGCGUCCCAUUAGCUAGUUGGAGAGGUAACGGCUCACCAAGGCGAGGAUGGGUAGCCGGCCUGAGAGGGUGAUCGGCCACAAGUGGAAUGAGACACGGUCCUUAAUCCUACGGUGGGCGGCAGUGUGGACUUGUGGGCAAUGGACGAAGUUCUGAUCCAGCAAUGCUGUGUGGACGAGGAAGUUGUCGGAAUGUAAAGUGCUUUGAGGUGGGAAUCGGUACCAACAGAAGAGGUGACUGCUAAAGACGAGCCAGCAGCCGCGGUAAUAC
rnacentral:rRNA from 1 species